AGGCAAAGGAGCAGGAGUGAGAUGUACUUGGAUGAAAGAAAUGCAACUGUACAGUUUGAACCCAACGCAAGACUCAAGUAUCCUCUCUCCUAAUUAGCAAAGGAACACGAUAAGUGUGACCGGAGCUGUAUAUCUACCCACAGUGAAGAGAAAAGAUUCACCUCAAGUUACAAGUUUGAAUGGUUCUGAUGGGCCCACCUGCAGGCUGAGCUGGUACCUAAGCAGAGACAUAAACCUCUUCCACAUAAGCUCAUCAGACCCAUUGCCCAUCCUGGUGGCCAUGUGCCUCAGCCGUGAUGCUGCUCAGAGUGGAGAAGAUCUGUGCUGCCCACCUGGAGCCUACAUGCAGGAAUGCAGAAGAAGCACUUAGUCAUCUAAUGGUAUCACACCCAGUUGUGAGGAGCCAGGGUACGCAGGCAGUGGCACUCAGCUCAUCCUGGAGAACACUGCCUGCAGUGUCACACGUUGCUGGAAAGGAACUUUACAGACGUACAUGUGUGUUGCUGGAGAAAAUGCAAAGAUAUAUCUGGUUAAUGAUUUAUUGUGGUCUGCUGGGAAAAUAAUGCUGCUUGAGAAAACAAAAAUGCAAAUGAGAGUAGAUGUUUGCCUGAUGAACUAGAAGAGAAUUGAGAUAUAGAUUACAUAACACUUAUUGCUUAAAAAAAAAAAAAAAAUCAGCAACCAGGAAUUGAAAUGAGUGUUUUCUUCAUCCUUAGGCAGAGCUACCAGUCAGAUUGUGCUGGGCUCUGUAUUGCUGUACCUCGCUAG
ensembl:lncRNA